rnacentral:rRNA from 1 species
GGAUGCUAUCAUACCAGCACUAAAGCACCGGAUCCCAUCCGAACUCCAAAGUUAAGCGUGCUUGGGCGAAGUAGUAUUAGAUAAGUACCUCCUGGAAAGUCCUCGUGUUGCAUUCC